UCUCCUGUUGACCUCCCUCACAAGUUCUUUUCUUGCACGGUCACUCAGUUUUUGAGGAUGGCCUGCUCCAGGCAGAUUUACAGCUGUACCAUAUUCUUUCCAUCUCUUGAUGAUUGACUUAACUGUACUCUAAAGGAUAUUCGGUAACUUGGAAAUUUUCUUGUAUCCAUCUCCUGACUUGUGCUUUUUAAUAAACUUUUGCAGAGUUGCUGGAAGCAUUCUUUUGCCUUCAUGAUGUAAUUUUUACCAGGACUGACUCACCAGCAGUUGGACCUUCCAGAUUCGGCUGCCACCAUCCUUUCAGACAGAGCCUUCCAACUCACAAUCGCAUGUGUUCCUGUGACCUUCAGCUGGCUUUGAUGGAGAGAAAACCUUGUGCUGAACAGCAGGUGAAACCGAAAUAAGCAUAAGCCACCACAAAGCAUCAAACAGCCUUCAUCUAUGGAUCAAGCUUUUCUUUUAUGGAAAACAAAAGGCUGCAGCAAGAAUUCCACCCCGCAGAGAAGAUCGUUGACUGACAUCGAAAGUCCUGUUCAUCAGCAGUGCAAAGAAAACAGCUGAAAAAUUUGCUUCAGACUCCACCCACCCUAGCAGUCACCUAUUCACCAAAUUGCCUUCAGAGAGGUGCUACAAGUCCAUCACCACCAGGACAGCACACCAUCCGCAAAGCUUCCUUCCUGUAGCUAUGCAACUUCACAACAAAACUCACUCAGGAGUAAUACCCCAACUGUCCCAGCACAGCAUCUGUUAAAUGGUCUUUCUUGCUCUCCUUGUUCUGUUGAGAAUUAAUGGGGUGAGUCUGUUCAUAUGUUUUAUUGGCAUUUGCGUAUGUGACCAUUCUGCUAAUUGUUGAUUGCUUGUGGCUGUUUGCACUAUUGUUUGUAAAUUGUUAGUUGCUAUUGUCUUGUCUGUUAUGGUAUUGUCCUGAGUUUUAUGCUUGGCACCAAACCACAA